rnacentral:rRNA from 1 species
AUUGAACGCUGGCGGCAUGCCUUACACAUGCAAGUCGAACGGCAGCACGGGAGCAAUCCUGGUGGCGAGUGGCGAACGGGUGAGUAAUAUAUCGGAACGUGCCCAGUCGCGGGGGAUAACGUAGCGAAAGCUACGCUAAUACCGCAUACGAUCUAUGGAUGAAAGCGGGGGGAUCGCAAGACCUCGCGCGAUUGGAGCGGCCGAUAUCAGAUUAGGUAGUUGGUGAGGUAAAGGCUCACCAAGCCGACGAUCUGUAGCUGGUCUGAGAGGACGACCAGCCACACUGGGACUGAGACACGGCCCAGACUCCUACGGGAGGCAGCAGUGGGGAAUUUUGGACAAUGGGCGC